rnacentral:rRNA from 1 species
AUGAGGUCAAUGAUGUGGAGAUUUUACCAGAGAUGUUGUUUUCAAGUAAGAUUUUGUGUGAGAUUAUACCGAUCGCACCAGCACGCCACAUUGUUACUCCACGGCAAAGGCAUCGAGGCAGUUGUUCACGGCAGACCAGUGAGCGGCGGCUGGUGGGCGCGACCACAUGGUGGUUGGAAGGUAGGCUUCGUGGCGUUCAGCCUCGGCCACCGUCGUACCACGAUCUCGCCCCACCCGGAAAGUCAGAUGAAGAGGUGGUGGAUGACUGAUCCCGGAGAGGGGAACAAGCCUCCGAGCACGUGCUCGUCAACUCCAUGCCGGCCGCUCCAAGCGACACUGCUUCGUGUCUUCAAGGCAGGCGCUGAGAUAGCCGUUGCAGUGAGCUGUGGUGUGUGGACUCUGCGGCCAGAUGGGAUUCAGAAUCCUUUUCCGUGA